GGCUGAAAAUCCAAGGGCACUCAAGGGCAUUUGGAAGGGUCAACUACCAGUAAUUUGGAAGUCCAACAAGAAGGCAUGGGUGACACUUGCAGUGUUUGAGGACUGGUUCGUAAACCAUUUUGUUCCAAGUGUGGAGUGGUAUUGCGCCUCCAAGGGUAUCCCCUUUAAGGUGUUGCUAGUGCUGGACAAUGCCCUGGACACCCUGCCCAGCUGGGAGACUUCAACCCUAAUGUCAAGGUGGUUUACCUUCCACCUAAUACCACGGCCCUUUUACAGCCUAUGGACCAAGGAGUGAUUGCUUCGUUCAAGGCCUACUACCUACGAAGGACAAUUGCUAUGGCUUUACAGGCAACUGAAACCAAGAAGGACUUGACUCUGAAGGACUUUUGGAAAUCCUACAACAUCCUUGAUGCUGUAAAGAACAUUGCUAAUUCCUGGGAGGAGGUUAAGCAAACAAACAUGAAUGGUGUCUGGAAGAAAAUUUGUCCUCAAUUUGUGAAUGAUUUCCAUGGGUUUGAGGACACAGUUCAGCUAGUUGUCAAGAACGUUGUUGCCCUGAGUAAGGAAAUCAAUUUGGAGAUGGAGGUUGAUGAUGUUACAGAGCUGCUGGAGUCUCAUGGCGAGGAGUUAUCUGUUGAGGACCUGAUACAACUGGAGAAGCAGAUGAUAGAGGAAGAAGAAGAAGCACCCACCCCAGAGCCUAAGGCUUUCACAAGGCAGGACUUGAUAAGAGGUUUUGCAGAGUUGCAGCAAGCGUUGUCAACUUUUGAGGCUCAGGAUCCCAACUUGGACAGGUUCACUAGGGUUUCCAGAGGCGUCAUGGAUUUGAUGCAGUGUUACAAGGAGAUCUUGGAUGAAAAGAGGUCGCUCUCUGUUCAGACUAACCUGGAGCAGUAUUUUAAGAAGGUAGAGAGGCCUGCAGGAGAUCCUGUACCCUCUACCUCAGCUGCCUCUGCUAAUCCAGACUCGCCUGCCCCACAAUCUCCAGCACCUUCUGAAUGUUCUGCUAACCCAGACUCACCUGCCCCAGUAUCUCCAGCACCUUCUGUAGGUUCUGCCUCACCUAAAGACUCACCUGCCCCAACAUCUCCAGUAGUAUGUUCUGCCUCACCUCAAGAAUCACCUGCCUCAGCAUCUCCAGUACUAGUAUGUUCUGCCUCACCUCAAGAAUCAUCUGCCUCAGCAUCUCCAGCAACUUCUGGAGGUUCUUUUUCUCUUCACUAACCUCCCCCAGUCUCUCCAGCACCGCAGCUUCCUCUCCAGUGUGCAAGCCAAUCAAACUAAUAAAGGUAAGGAAUUGUUCUCUCGUUGUUAUUGAUAGGUAUUUACAUUAAAUCAUGUGGUAUUUUUCAAUGUUCCGACUUACGCUGAAAAUCGUGUUACGACGCAUCGUAAGAACGGAUCAACGUCGUAACUCGAGGACCCCCUGUAAACUAAAUAAUUCAUUAGUACUAAGGCACUAAGGCAGAAAAUUCUUGACAGCAAGAAAAAUUUGGCCCUAGGCUUCCAGUUACUAGAUCCUUCAAUUAAUGGUUUCAAUCAGAAUCAGCUUUGUGAGAACAUAAUCAACUGUUGUUUGUACCUCACCUCAAAAAAUAAGUAAAUAAAUAAAUAAAAUAAUAAUAAUGAUAGUAAUAAUAACAAUAAUAGUAAUUGUGGUAUGGCAUACAUUAAGAAAUUUUUGAGCGUAUGAACUCAUGUCACUCUUAACUUUAAAACUAAAUGACAAUUUUUUUUUUUUUAUGCGAAAUGCAGUUCAUGCAGCUCAUAUUUUUUAAGAUGUCAAAACAGUGCCAUGCGUCUGAAAUUUUUCUUUUCUUUUAUUUAAAAAUCAUAUCAAGUAUAUUUUACAAAUAAAUAUAUAUGUAAUUCAUGUACACAAAUUUACAAAAAACAAACAUCUAAAAAUAAAUCAUACACAUCAAAACAAUUCUUUAAAAUGCACAGUUGAGGUACUUAUCUGUAGACAAUAAAUUGAUUUUUUUCUUUAAGAAGAAUUUUCAUCAAGUACCUGUCAUAACUAAAUUUGAAUGUUACGGCAUUUGGUACUGGGGUUCAUAGGCCUAAGUUCAGAUUGGCUGGCGAUUUUUCGCAUUUAUAACUGAUAGCGUGAUUAUAUACUCUGAUCUCGCCUGUUAAAUCAAGGUGUAGAAAUUGUGACCAGAAUCACAGUGAUACAUUGGCCACUCAAGAAUACACUCAUGUUUUGGGGGCUGUGGAUGCAAGAACAAAGUCAAUUGUAUUAAUUAAAUAUAGUCGCCAAACCUUUAGGAAUGAGACUUCAUAUUUUGUAAAGGUUUAUUUUCUCAGGAAGAUACAUAACAGCUAGGAAAGGAACAACUCAGCUGGCUAGUACAGUGGGUUGUUGCAAUAAGAUAGAUGCAUGAUGCAGUAAUGGACAAAAGAAGUAUUUAUGUUGCUACGAAACACCAAAAUCACCCACGAGGAUGAGUGUAGGAAAAGAGGUCCAUAAUGCAUAUACAUUGCAAGAAAUAGCAGUUAAAUAUAUAUAAAGUUACAGUAAUGUAGGAAAAGGAGGAUGUAAAUAUAGGCAAGUCUUCUAAUUUUCAGUUUUUGAGACGGUGUAAAAGGAAAAGUUUCAAGGAAAAGGAAGUUUUAACAUUUAGGCGUAGGCCAAGCGCUGGGACCUAUGAAGUCAUUCAGCGAUGCAAGGGAAACCGAGAGUAAAGGACGUUUUAAAGUUGAAACAGGAGGAAAACCUCGCAGUUCCACCACGAAACACUUGUUAGGAGAGGGUGAAAAGUUAGAUGUUAGGCAGGGGCCGACGGGACUGUAUGCAUAGAACCUACAGUGCACCGCGUGUUGAACUUAUGGCAUUAUCUCCCCCCGGAAGAAAAGGAAGUGUUGAAUUUCUGCAAUAACAAUGGCUGCUGCCAUGGAGUAUGCAGCCGAAGUCACCGAGAUCAGCAGGGCGGGCUUCCCUGUCCCUUUGAACUUCAGUGACGUCAUAGGAGAAGGUUAGGUUCACCCCAGUUUCACAUAAGGUAUUGGCGAGUCCGGUCAUGUGUGGAAAAUCUAAAGAAAUUGUAAUUUUUACGCAUAAAUUGUGUCUCAGUGGUGAUGACGUACAAAUGCUGUGUCCAGAAUUGUAUAUGCAAUUGCAUUUGUAAAGGUAAAGUUGAUAUUUUCAAGUUCGUUGUGGUUAAAGAAAGGAAAACUGGCUCAGACUAGUGAAUAACAAUGCGGGGGUUUUAACUCCACGUAAAUAUUCAGGCUCCUGGGUGAGCUCAGAAAUGAACGUGUCUGUAACGGUUUUGUACAGUAGAAUAAAAACCAUUUUGUGGAAUAGCAGAUAUCUGAUGUUAUAGGGGUCUUAAUAUUUCUCAUUUCUGCUGCGGAUUCACUUGGAGAACUUUCGCCCUAGUACCAUAAACCUAGUAGGCAUUACCUUCCUGAUGAUAAACUUUGAUACAUUAGUUUUUGGUGCUCCCAAUUCUCAUUUAUACGAAAACCUAUUCUAAAUGAUAUAUGUUAAUGUAAUUGCGAGUUAAUGGAAAUGCGUUACCGUAUAAUUUUGUGGCGAGUUGCCGCCUGACUGAUGGUGUUGCGUACAGUGUUAUAACUAUAUUCUUCUAAUCGCCGGUUACUGUCGUAUAAUUAUUAUACCCAGUAACCCAGAUAUAAAAUAAGCUUUAGCAGUUACCAUGAAACCUUGCUCAAGUAAAGAGAUUGAGUAAAGUAUUCUCGGAUAGGAACAAGUCCAAGGAUACGCUUGAGACUGGAAAUGCACUUGGCACGUGCAACAAUGAGGAAAGUUGCAACUCAUGACACCCCUCUGGCUCUCUCACAAAACCUAAUGUAAGAAAUAAUACCUCUUCAGAAUGAAGAUCAGGCUCCUUUCAAUGCUCUGUACACUCGGGACAAGUAAAGGUUGAUUGUAGGGAGAUUGAAGUGCGUAGCAGUAAACCACGACCCAGGACCAAGAUAAGAAACGAGAGUGAAGAGCUUAUUUCUUUAGCAUGUAAACGUCUACGUGGAGACCGUGACGACUUGGAUAAGCUGGCUUUAGCAUGGGCUUCGGAGCUGAGACGAAUGAGCCCUACCCAACAAAUAUUUGCCAAAAAAGCUAUAAAUGAUGUUUUGAUUGAGGGGCAGCUAGGUACAUUGCAUCGCCACUCGGUCUCUAUAAAUGUAGUAAGUCCACCACCACCAGCCCAGAAUGAUCCCACAGCAGUUGCAAACGCCUUACAGUCACCCGUUGAAUGGAAGACUGAUUGUCAGUAGAAGUUUAAAAAUAAAAAUAAAAUAAAUCA